rnacentral:rRNA from 1 species
UUGGCGUAAGGUUGCAUGGAGCCGCUAUUGGUCAGAUCUUGGUGGUAGUAGCAAAUAAUCGAAUGAGACCUUGGAGGACUGAAGUGGAGAAGGGUUUCGUGUGAACAGUGGUUGAUCACGAGUUAGUCGGUCCUAAGUUCUAGGCGAAAGCCUAAAAAUGAGAAAGUGAUUUUUAUAGUGACUUUUUAAUAUUUUAUGAACGAAAGGGAAUACGGUUCCAAUUCCGUAACCUGUUGAGUAUACGUUUGUUAUUAAAUAUGGUCAAUUAUGAUCAUCCUGGCAACAGAAACUACCAUAGAGAAGCCGUCGAGAGAUAUCGGAAGAGUUUUCUUUUCUGUUUUAUAGUCGUACUACCAUGGAAGUCUUUCGAAGAGAGAUAUGGUAGAUGGACUAGAAGAGCAUGGCAUUUACUGCUGUGUCGAUAUAUUCUCCUCGGACCUUGAAAAUCUAUGGUGGGGACACGUAAACUUCUUAACAGGCCGUACCAAUAUCCGCAGCUGGUCUCCAAGGUGAAGAGUCUCUAGUCGAUAGAAUAAUGUAGGUAAGG